UGGACAGGCACAUACAGUAUGUGGUUGGGUUAAACUAGUUUGCUGGCACUAAAUUCUCCCCUAAAAUGGGACAGUGGUGUUACAAACAACAAAAGAACUAACUGAUAUCAGUGGGAAAAGGCUUUAUAAGAUUAACUUGGCUAAAGCAGAAAACAUUUAAACGAAACACAGACCAGACAUAGCAGCAUAUCUAUACUUCCCACAAGAAAAUAAACACUAAAAAAGAAAUGUGAGUACGAAAACUCACAGUUUCAUAUUAAUAUCAACCCGUCAAAAAUCGUGUA
rnacentral:lncRNA from 1 species